AUGGCUGUCGUCAGCUCGUGUCGUGAGAUGUUGGGUUAAGUCCCGUAACGAGCGCAACCCCUAUCCUUAUUUGCCAGCACAUUAUGGUGGGAACUAUAAGGAGACUGCCGGUGAUAAACCGGAGGAAGGCGGGGACGACGUCAAGUCAUCAUGGCCCUUACGACCAGGGCUACACACGUGCUACAAUGGGAAGGACAAAGAGCCGCGAAGCCGCGAGGUGUAGCUAAUCUCACAAAUCUUUUCGUAGUCCGGAUUGGAGUCUGCAACUCGACUCCAUGAAGUCGGAAUCGCUAGUAAUCGUAGAUCAGAAUGCUACGGUGAAUACGUUCCCGGGUCUUGUACACACCGCCCGUCAUACCAUGGGAGUGGGUUGCACCAGAAGUGGCUAGUCUAACUUUGUGAGGACGGUCACCACGGUGUGAUUCAUGACUGGGGUAAAGUCGUAACAAGGUAGCCCUACCGGAAGGUGGGGCUGGAUCACCUCCUUAAGAAAAGUACGAGUGUUCACACAAGUUGUUUGAUAAAAAUAUAGUAAAGAGAGAAUAGACCAAUAACCCAAAAUCAAUGUUAUUGAUAUUAAGGGUCUGUAGCUCAGUUGGUUAGAGCGCACCCCUGAUAAGGGUGAGGUCGGUGGUUCAAAUCCACCCAGACCCACCAAUUUUACUGGGUUAUUAGUGUUAUUUUGGGGCUAUAGCUCAGCUGGGAGAGCGCCUGAUUUGCAUUCAGGAGGUCAGCAGUUCGAUCCUGCUUAGCUCCACCAUUUUCUCUGAUGAAAACUUAAAUAAGAUUUAUUAUUAAGUUUUAUUUAAGUUUUUAUACCUAGCCUUGGCUAGGAGCUCUUUAACAAUUUGGAUAUGAAGUAAAGUUUGUUAAAUACAAUACAACGUAUAAGUAGAUAUAAAUAUGUUAUCGAAGGUGUAUUGCAUUGACACAACAAUUUCAAAAAAUAUGGAUUCUCGAUGAUAGAUUAAUCUCUAUCAUUGAAAAUAGAAAUCACCGAUUAGAUCGAAAGAUUUAGUUAGUGACUUCACAAGGUGAAAUACGAAACCAGAUAACCUAGAUAUUUUGGGGUUAUAUGGUCAAGUGAAUAAGUGCAUACGACGGAUGCCUUGGCAGUAGAAGGCGAUGAAGGACGUGAUAAUCUGCGAUAAGCUUCGGUUAGCUGAUAAAUGAGCUUUAACCCGGAGAUCUCCGAAUGGGGAAACCAAG
rnacentral:sRNA from 1 species